UUCACCGAAGCCAGCGAGGGUUAUUUCUUCCCAUAGACGAGGCCGGCUCUUGUCUGCCCCUUCUUGGACAUCUCCCUAAUUGGUCAACAGGACCUCGCUGGCCUUUCCAUCGUUUGAGUCCGAGUCGUGCCACUUGACCAUUGAAAGCCUGACCAAACAUUGUCAAUCCCUUGUCAUGCCAAAGCAAAGCCAGCCACAAUCCCGCGGCCCUGGCAUCAUAGGCAGUGUCAAUAUUUGGCCAGGACCAAGUCGCCGAGUGAGGCCAAGUUUGCACUCGGCGCUCGCCGGCGCUCGGCACAGCCAUUGAUGCACACUCUACUCUCCGAUUCCGGGACUGGUGGGGAAUGAUGAUGAUGGCGCACUUCAGAAUGAAAAAAAAAAAAGAUUAAAAAAGAAAGAUGUUAUUGUAAAAAUAAA